rnacentral:misc_RNA from 1 species
AAACCUCAACCUCCUUGGUUUCUUCUGGAGACCAAAGCAGGCUUGGACUUUGGAGGCCUUUGCUGGUGCCUCUCUCUUUUGAAGGCCAGCUCCUCUUAAACAAAUUAGCAGGGUCCUCUUUGCCGAUCCUCGACGUGUGAUAAGAUGUUUCCAUGUCUUGGUUUCUGGCUCUGUAACUUUUGGGACCCGCUUCUAACCGGCUGGACCUUGCGUCGAGACAAUGUUCGAGCGCGUCUCCCUUCUCGGGAAGCUCCCUCGACCCCACGAAC